rnacentral:rRNA from 1 species
GUGGCCAGCAGCCGCGGUAAUACCGGCAGCCCGAGUGAUGGCCGAUCUUAUUGGGCCUAAAGCGUCCGUAGCUGGGUCUGAAAGUCCAUCGGGAAAUCCACUCGCUCAACGAGUGGCCGUCCGGUGGAAACUCCACACCUUGGGACCGGAAGGCUCGAAGGGUACGGCCGGGGUAGGAGUGAAAUCCCAUAAUCCCGCACGGACCACCGAUGGCGAAAGCACUUCGAGAAAACGGAUCCGACAGUGAGGGACGAAAGCCAGGGUCUCCAACCGGAUUAGAAACCCUGGUAGUCC